rnacentral:pre_miRNA from 1 species
CUGGUGAGUCUGGAUGCUGAUGAUAUGUUAGUUCCCAUCAGCUCCAAGGCUGAUCAGUA